AAAACCCAAAGGCGAAAUGAAAGUAAAGAGUGGGUUUAAUUGUUGCAAAAAAUUUUUUUUCUGUAUACAAUUCCUCUUAAGGGAAGAUGGAAAGCUUAUCCUUAAAUUGAUUAUGAUUAAUUUUUUUUUUUGUAAUUGUUUUUGGAUAUGGUUUUCCCGCAUUCCCGGGGCGCUUGCAUCUCGCUUUGCGAGUCAAUGCGCACCUAGAGCGUACACGCUGAUACCCGAAAGAUGGUGAACUAUGCCUGGCCAGGACGAAGCCAGGGGAAACCCUGGUGGAGGUCCGCAGCGAUUCUGACGUGCAAAUCGAUCGUCGGAGCUGGGUAUAGGGGCGAAAGACCAAUCGAACCAUCUAGUAGCUGGUUCCCUCUGAAGUUUCCCUCAGGAUAGCUUGCGCUCAAUAGUGACGAGUCUCAUCCGGUAGAGCGAAUGAUUAGAGGCAUUGGGGUCGAAACGACCUCAACCUAUUCUCAAACUCCAAAUAGAUGAGAACGCCGGCUUUCUUAAAAAAUGAAGCCGUGUGUUUCGGAUCAAAGUGCCAAGUGGGCCAAUUU
rnacentral:rRNA from 1 species